rnacentral:lncRNA from 1 species
ACCUCCCAGGGUAUUAAGGCUGCACUUUUCUUUGGAGUCUCGUGCUGCUCAGGCUCAUGGCAGUGCUCCCUUUGAACUCUCUGUGGUUUGUAGUUCUCACCACUUGCUCAAAAUGAAGCAGAAUGCAACGGUUCAUAUAAUAUUAUGUCUCAGGAAGAGUGUAUGUAACAGUACCCGUGCUGAUAUGAGCCGGUUGACGCUUGGACAUCACAGACCUCUGUAUGGUGCUCCCAGAGGUCUGACAUGUAUUUUGCUAAAUCCUUCCAUCAAUAAAACCCAUGCUGCCUGCUUCUAGAUGGGUGAGAGGAGAAUGAUGGCAAAAGAAUUUGGUAUAUCCUUGCUCCCACCUUCCUGUUCUUGAAAGCACAGGACAUCUGUGGGAGGAUUAUCUCUGGAGGCCUUGAUGGAGAGUACCAACCAGUCUUCAUGUGAAGACACUCUGCGUUCCUCAGCACUUACCCGUGAUCUGCAUCCUUGGUAAUCAACAGGGAAUAUUCUUUUAAACCUUGUUCUCUUGUUUCUUUUGGUGCUGUGGCACAGCUGUUUCUAUUUAUUUCAGACAGAUUAAUCUUAAUGUUACAAAUGCCUGCAUAGUUGAUGCCCUCAGCCAGGACCUUGCAGCUUGAGAGAUGUGUCCCCAGACCCCCCUAACCCAGCUGAGGAUGGAGGGAGCAGCCUGGUACACCCCAAGUACACUUCUCCUCCCAGUUAGGAAGACAUUAUUGCUGCCAGAGUACACGCUGUCCAUUCUUUAACCAGACAAGACUGGAUAAGAAAGACUAAUCAUCUCCUUGCGGAGAUGCCAGUGGAAGUGAUUGAGACAAAGGGGCGUAGCAUCAUCUUGAUGCUGAAGAGCUUUCAGAGGAGGUAAGUGUGUGACUUCCCAGCAGAGCAAGUGGAGAAUAAGCAGCUGAAAAAUCUUUCUUCAUUUCUAAGAAAAACAGGAAUGGCCAGGCCAUUGCCGAGUGCUGACAUGUUUGUAUUGUUUGUGUUGCAUUGUUUUGUAAUCAAAAGUCAGUAUUUAUUGGACUAUACUCUCAAAAGGUCUCAUCUCAAAAUACUCUCAUAUCAGAAUCUGUGAUAAGACUAAAAACCCUGAUGGAAACUUAGCCCCAGCAAUUUUUUUUUCUGACAUCAGCUCUUCCGUGCCUUAAAGUAUAACCCCAAAGCCCUGAGCUCUCCACUAAGGAGGCUGGAUGUGGGAGCCAGCCAGCAGAGCCUGCUGCGUCCAAGCCCUCUUUGUAAGAGAGGUGGCUGUGGCUCUGGACAGUCUCUGGACUGCCUCCUUCCUUCUGCCUGCAGAGCACAGCCAUGGCCUCUCAGAAAGCUGCUGCUGGUGCCUGUCCUUGCCCUGUGGCUACACCAGCCUAGGGAGACCCUUCCAUGCAUCUUGCAUGCAUGGUAUAGCAGAUAAGCCACAAAUAGUUUGUGCCUACUUCAGUAAGUAGCUCACCGAUGUAGCAUACCAUUGUAAUGGAGAAAAAACCCUAAUUCCAUUAAAUUGGAUGUUAGGCAUAAUAGCUGGACCCUUAAGGUUAAAGAAAUCCGAUCCAUUCAGGUGGCACAGAACAGCCUUCAGUGCAUUGCACAGCCUAAGGAGAGAGCAGAGUGUUGCCCACUGUAUUUACUAUCAUGUUUGUUUUGGGAGCUAAAUUAUUCUUACUAAUUCUGCUAGCAGUGUAAUACGCUGUCUCAGUAAUGGAAAGCAUAUGAAAGCAAGCAGAUGGCGAGAGCAGAAAAAACCCAAGCAUGUCCUGAUAAUGUAGUAAGCAAGUUCAUUUUUUUGGCAUUAGGCUUUCAUAACCGAGGCAUGGUGAUAACAAGUACAGACACAUUUUUAAAGCGCAGUUCAUCAAAAAAUAUAGCCAGUUUCAUUGCAGAGCAAUGGAAGAUUACUUUGAGACUUUUAUAUAGAUAAAAGCUAGAUGUGAAUGUUGUUGAAUUAGACCCAUCAUUUAUUAUUGCUGGCAGAUGAGUGACAGCAGAUACUGGUCAGAGUGAUGCCAUCGCAGUCCUGUGAUCGCACGUAUCUUCACGAAUGUAGAGUUUCUCACCCGUUCACUUGCAAAUAUGUAGCCACCCUGUAUGCCAGAAAAACCACAGGCACUUUGAUACAGGGUGUUAUCGCAGUGGGCAGUAUUGGAAAUUCCAAGUAUUUUAUUUUGCUUCUAAAGCUUUCAGUCUCUGGUUGGAAGUUGUGAAGCUCAAGGCUGCUGCUGCUUCAAUAUCUGCGUAUCUGCAGCACGUGUGGAUCCCACCUGGUUUGGCCCCAUUCCCUGCGAGGAGGGCACUGCAUGGGGAGUGCUCAGCAUGUCUAGAGAAGAGUGGCCUCGCCUCUCUGCUGAAGCAAACAGUCCUGGCAUGGAGUUUUGGGGGGGAGGAGGCGGUGGAAGUAACUUGACUACCUCCAACCCACAUUUUUUUUGUUGUUUUUUUUUUGUCUCUCAGGCCAAGAUAUGGGCAGAAGCAAGGCCAGAUUCACUGUUUACACAAUCUAUCACUUUAAGGUUCUUCAGAGAAGGGAUACAUUAAUUUUUGUUAUGAUUUCACUUUGAAGCAGCGCAGCUGCAUCUUUGUGUGACAUGUCAAGUGGCUCCAGCCGUGCAUUGUGAGAUGGGGCUGCAAGCAAAGCCCUGCCCUCAGCUUCCAGGAGUUUGGUUCAGAGAGAGCAAGGGAGGAGGAGCUGCCAAUGCUGCUGUGUGGGGAGCAAGUGCCAGUUCAGGGAGUGAACAGAACUGAGCAGUGAUCUCUUCUGCAGGGAAGGGGUGAGGAGAGACGGCCCCCUUUCUCAUGAAACCAUGUAAUUGGUUAUAAUGCUCAUUUUUCACCAUUCAAUAGCACAGCGUGUUAAGUAAUGAAAGUUUUUAAAUAUUUCAUAUGCAUCUGGUUCGUUCCUGAUUUGAAGAAACAAAGGCAAGAAAGCCUUUCUGAUUGCUUGCUCCCUCUGAGGGCCUUGCUCUUGCUGCUUCCUGAGGAAAGUUGUCUCCCUUUAUCUUUUUUUAGCAAUGGAUGCUGAUUUAACCUCCCAGGAAAUCAUGUCUUUUCUUCUGUGUUGCUUUUAGUAUCUCCAGGAAGUGGCAGGUGGCACCACUCAGGAGAUGACUUUGAUGGCCCCAUGUCCUCUCUGUUUCAUUACCCAGGCAGGAGGUGGGACUGCUGUUACACCUUGUUCCCAGCUGUUUUCUGCUCCCAAGGCUGUGCCACCCAUCUCGUUGCUGUGGCUUUCUCUUGUGGGGCCUGGGGACAGAUGCAGAAGCCAGGUGACACGGAUGCUUUGCUGCCAGCGCGGGGCCUGAGGCUGUAUCCUGGUGGAGCCUGGGCAGGGGCUGAUCGGCUCAGGAGAGAUGGGAUGGGACAGGGUCUGCCCUAAUGCUGAAGGCCCAGCUCAAACCUCUGGGGGCGGGAGACCCUGUGCUGAUAGCCAGAAGUCAGAGCACGUUGCUUCCUUCUGCUGUGGUGUCUCUGCCAUCUGCAAAUCCCUCCAGCAGCGGCACCCUGCCUCUGCCUUGUUCCCACUUUGUUUAGGCUAAAGCCAGUGGGUCUGUCUUCAAAGCAAAGUGCGGCUUUCCCUGUGGAAAAAUCUCACUCCUGACUUUUGCUCUGUCCCCACAUCAAGCCAGCUUUCAGUGCACUGCCUGUAAGCAACUGUUAUUUUUUGUGUUUGUCCUGCAGUGAGCCAUAGCGUUCUGUGUCACCAUACCUCUAGACAAGGCUGUGAAAGCAGUUGAGGACUUUUCCAACAACUGAUGCCUGCUGCUGCUGCUCACAGCCAGCACAAAGCCUUCCCACUGCCAGGCCUGCCUGCUCUGGGCUGCUGUGUUUAUUUCUGGGGUUAGAGGGGAAGGGGGGGGAACUGUAUCUGGGUAUUUUAAUUAGAUAAUAAUAAUGGAAACAAGUGGCACUAUGGCCACUUCCUAAACAGAGACAUCUGUUUGUAGAGUCCUGGCCCUAUUGGAGAGCACUAGGUAGGACUCAUCAGGCCAAGUCGUCGCUGCAGCUGUGCUGGGCAGCCCUGGAGCCCACUGGCUCCUCACAGGGGUGCUGGAGCACACUGGGGGCAUCGCUCCCCUCCCACUGCCCAUGCACUGCUGGAUGUGGCACAGCACUGCUACAUACAAAACCCUACUGAAGUUAUUUGCCUCAGUCUCACACAUCUGAGUCUUGUAACUUUGCUGCUGGUUCAUUUUCAGGAGGGACAGGAUAUAUUACGGAGCUAAAUUCUCACGGGCAAAUAAUAAGUCCUAGCACCUGCUGGCUGGAACCCACAGGCUGUGACCUGUCUCCUCCAAUGUUUGUAUUUUCCUCUGCGGGAAAGAGCAACAUGGUAAAGAAUUCCUAUUAUUUCAAAUAUUUCACCAUGGUGUUAUCUAGCCUAGUCUAAACAAUGGUCCCGAUUGCUCUUGAGAGUUGUACUCUGCAGGAGAAAACGGUAACAAAUGUUGUUAUUCCCAACGUGAUCCCCCCCACUACGGGGACACAGAUAUUUGUGACAUGGAAUGGCAGUGUGCUCCUGGAAGCAUCAAUCCAGAUAUGUUAGCUGAAAAAGAGGAAAAAAUUGCCUCCCUUGCCAAAUUCCAAACUGAUCCACCCAGAAGAAGAUCCAUGCUGUGAUGCUUCUGUCCUGGACGUGCCAUUUGUUGAUGCAGGAAGUGGAUCACAUCCCAGGCUCUGGGAAUGUGCAGGAUGUGUCACUUGCCCCAUUGCCUUACAAACGAUAAAUCUCUAAAACCUCACUAAAAGCUGUAAUACUGCAAAAGCUGCAGCCAUGGCAAUUAUUUGCCUUCAUGUUCACUGACCCACUGAAGGAACCAGGCUGUGAACACCCUGACUCUAGUGGGAAAUGCCUGGACAGCCAGACCUGACCCAAAUGUCCAAACACAGCCAAACUUCAGCCUGAAUACACAUAACACAGUUAAUCCCGACUUAAUUUAUGGCAGCCUGAACCUGAAUGUGAACUCACCCACUGUGUUACCAGAGAUCCGAACCUGGAUUUGGCUCCCAAAUAGCUUGGGUCUAGGUCUUGAAAUUACCCAGUUGUUGGCUGCAGUCUGCUUUGGAGCUGGAGAUUUAUUUCUCCAGGAGGCAGGAAAACACAUUGUGUUGCCAAACUACUUCCAGUCUUUUCCAGAAUUACAAGUCAGGGGAUGGUGGGUAAGUCUUGUGAUUUUCAUCCUACAAUCUAAACCAGAUGGACUACUCUCGCAGCAUAAAUAUUUAAGCAAAAAAAAAGCAAAAAAAAAAAAAAAAAGUUCAGUUUCUUAAUUAAUUGCAUUAUUAUGACUUGCACUAUUUAACAGGAUGCGCAUAAAGCUGGUUUACAAGAUAGCUUGAUCACCUUCUUUGAUUCAUCUCAAUAAAAUCUGGAGUUUUUGUUUUCUCAGGGAUAAUGAAGUAACUGUAGAAUAAUAAAGCGGCUCUGCUUAUUGGAAACAGAAAGCUCUCAGCUUUCGGAAGAAAAGAUCCUCUCGGUGAAGCUCGUGCUGUAUUAAUCCAAAAAUACAAAUAAGUGGAGGUGAUCUGGAAAGCCUGUGUUACUGACAUCAGCCCAGGUGAGGUUUAUAAAGCAGAGCAUGGUCUGUGGGACGUGAGGACAGGGUGAGGAGAAAAUCCGUGCUAGGUUUCCUGGUCCCUGUCCUGGCAGAGUAGCCAGCAGGCUUCUGCUCGGCGCUGCAGGCCCAUUGUUUGGGUCAAGUAUUUGG